AUGAAAUUACUUAAGAGGGCUUAAGUUUUUAAUUAGAUUCAGGUCUGAUUAAGUUAUUGGGUCAAGGGUUUGACUUGGAGCGGGCUCAAGAGAAAAGAAAAGAAACCCAAACCCAUGAUGAGGGGGAGCCCGCGGUUGUAUUAGGGUUCUGAAGGGGGGAAAAAUUUCUUUUCCUUUCAGUUCUGAAACAGAAACCCUUGCACUCCUUACGUAAAGAAAACAGAAGAGAAAAGAGUGAGAGAACCACCCCUUGAACCCUUAGCCGCCGCCGACCAAACCACCACCGCAACCCGUGACGCCGCGCGAGUGAGAGAGCCUUGCGAGAGGGAGAGGAUUCGCGUGGAGGAGGAGAAGAGGGACGUGGACAGCAAGCAACUGAGUUCUGAACCUACAUCUUUUCUCUUUUUCAGACCAAGAACCCAAGAUGGUCGUGAAGAUAAUGACGAGGACUCAUUCUUGGGAGUUGAUGCUACGUGGCGAGCCACUACCGGAUGACGACUACACUUCUGAUGAAGAGGAAGAAGAUAAAGAGGAAGGGGCCAAGGAUAUGGUUGGGUUGUGAGACAUCCAUUUUUCUUUUGGGUUGAGAGUACCGAGUUUUGGAAGUAUUGAACCAUUACUUUAUUUUAGUUGAGAUAGUUUAACUUGAUGUAAUUUACUUUGAAGUUUUCUUCCGGAUAAUUAUUUCAUACUCUUUUCAAUGAUUAAUAAAGUUUGAGGUUUACGUUGAUGAUUA